AUUAAAAAACAGAGGCCAUAAGUUAAUAUAUAUAUAUAUAUAUAUAUACACACACACACACACACACACACACAUAUACAUACAUUUUUUUUUUCUUUUAGUUUAGAAAACGUAAGCAGAAGAGAGAAACAACAUAAUUGAGACAACUUGAUUUUGAAUGUAGUUUAGUCAUAGUAAUUUUAAUUACAACAUAAUCUUGCUGCAUUCUUCUAAAGAAAAAGAAAAACAAUUUACCUUGUAUUAAGAUAAAAAAGAAAACUACAGUUCGAAACAUGGGGCUCUUGGAAGGCAAGGAUUUAUUCUUAGAAGGCAAAGGAACAUUUGGAAGGCAAGGAUUUAUUCUUGGAAGGUAAGUGGGAACUUGGAAGGCAAGGAUUAUUCUUGGAAGGCAAGGUGCAACUUGGAUUGGCUUGCUUGGCACUUUGUCAGACCAGGUGGGGAGCGCUCGGACCCUGGCCAGUUGGAGGCACAUCCUGCGAUUAACCGGACUGUGUGAAGAGGGGCCGGAUCACAGACCCAAGGAUUAGUCAAGAAUUGGACACCUUGUAAAAAAAAAAAAAAAAAAAAAAAUGAAAACUACAGGCUUUAUUCAUAUAUGACUUUAUUGUGGAUUUUCUCCCUUUAAGAGCAACCUAAAUACUCUUUGAUCAAUAUUGCAC
rnacentral:lncRNA from 1 species